rnacentral:rRNA from 1 species
CCUACGGGAGGCAGCAGUGGGGAAUAUUGGGCAAUGGGCGCAAGCCUGACCCAGCAACGCCGCGUGAAGGAAGAAGGCUUUCGGGUUGUAAACUUCUUUUCUCAGGGACGAAGCAAGUGACGGUACCUGAGGAAUAAGCCACGGCUAACUACGUGCCAGCAGCCGCGGUAAUACGUAGGUGGCAAGCGUUAUCCGGAUUUACUGGGUGUAAAGGGCGUGUAGGCGGGAAAGUAAGUCAGAUGUGAAAACCAUGGGCUCAACCUGUGGCCUGCAUUUGAAACUGUUUUUCUUGAGUACUGGGGAGGCAGACGGAAUUCCUAGUGUAGCGGUGAAAUGCGUAGAUAUUAGGAGGAACACCAGUGGCGAAGGCGGUCUGCUGGACAGCAACUGACGCUGAGGCGCGAAAGCGUGGGGAGCAAACAGGAUUAGAUACCCCAGUAGUC